rnacentral:lncRNA from 1 species
UUGAAUGUUUGCUGGCCACCGAAUCUGGUGGUUGUGGUGAUAGGGGUUGAUGGUGGUUGUAGUGUGUGGUGGGUUCUAGUGGUUUUGGUUGUUAGAGUAGUGGUGGUGAUGGUCUUUGUAUGGUUGGCAGUGGCAGAUCUGAUGGUUUUGUAUGUGUUGGUCGACGGUGGUGAUAGUGGUUUGUGUGGGAUGGCAUAAGUGACGAGAUCCGAUGGUUCGGUUUUCAUUGUUUUGGUGAUUGGUUUCUAUUAUUGUGGUGAUAGUUAGCUUGCAAUGGUGAGGGGUUGCUGAUGGUGGUUUUGCCUUGCGAUGGUUACUGUCGAUGGUUCUGGCGGAGACGGUGGCAGUGAUGCUGUAGUGGUGAUCACGUAUAAACAAAUAUUUGACCGAUGAAAAAAAUAAAUUAUGA